rnacentral:rRNA from 1 species
UACGUAGGGUGCAAGCGUUGUCCGGAAUUAUUGGGCGUAAAGAGCUCGUAGGCGGCUUGUCGCGUCUGCUGUGAAAUCCCGGAGCUCAACUCCGGGCCUGCAGUGGGUACGGGCAGGCUAGAGUGCGGUAGGGGAGAUUGGAAUUCCUGGUGUAGCGGUGGAAUGCGCAGAUAUCAGGAGGAACACCGAUGGCGAAGGCAGAUCUCUGGGCCGCUACUGACGCUGAGGAGCGAAAGCAUGGGGAGCGAACAGG